rnacentral:sRNA from 1 species
GGGCAUGGUGAUGCACACCUGUGAUCCUAGCUACUUGGGAAAUUGAGGCAGGAGAGCGCUUGAGUUCUGGAGUUCAGGACAAGCCUGGGCAACAGAGUCAGACCCAGUCUCUU